rnacentral:rRNA from 1 species
GAUGAACGCUAGCUACAGGCUUAACACAUGCAAGUCGAGGGGAAACGACAUCGAAAGCUUGCUUUUGAUGGGCGUCGACCGGCGCACGGGUGAGUAACGCGUAUCCAACCUGCCCAUCACUUGGGAAUAACCUUGCGAAAGUAAGACUAAUACCCAAUGACAUCCCACGAAGACAUCUGAAUGGGAUUAAAGAUUUACCGGUGAUGGAUGGGGAUGCGUCUGAUUAGCUUGUUGGCGGGGUAACGGCCCACCAAGGCAACGAUCAGUAGGGGUUCUGAGAGGAAGGUCCCCCACAUUGGAACUGAGACACGGUCCAAACUCCUACGGGAGGCAGCAGUGAGGAAUAUUGGUCAAUGGGCGAGAGCCUGAACCAGCCAAGUAGCGUGCAGGAUGACGGCCCUAUGGGUUGUAAACUGCUUUUAUAAGGGAAUAAAGUGGGUCUCGGGAGACUUUUUGCAUGUACCUUAUGAAUAAGGACCGGCUAACUCCGUG